rfam:Oryza rufipogon genomic scaffold, chr12
AUAAAGUGCAACGAUAAUUUUCCGUGUCCAAAUUUAAUGGUUAUUCUUAUUUUAAAUUUUUUUAUAAUUUAUAUUUUUGUUAUUAUUAGAUGAUAAAAUAUGAAUAGAAAUUUAUGUGUGACUAAUGUUUUCAAUUUUUUGAAAUAACAAGGACGAUCAAAAUUGGGUACGAGAAAAAUUUCGGGACCCGUUUGCA